GGCUCCUCCCCACCUCCGCUCCCGUACUCAGACCGGCCUGCCUGCCUCACCUGUGUCGGGUUUCCCUCUGCGGUCCCCAGUCCCCGAGCUUGUUCCAGCUCAGCAGGUAUCCCCUGACCUGAACUCCUUUCAUGUUUUAUAUUUUAGCAAAUCCUGACUUUUUGUAAAAGAGAAAUUUGAGAAGAAAACACACCCAUAAUUCUUUUACUGUACAAAUUCUUGUUCCCAUUCGCUCGCAUCUACUACCAUUUCCAUUACUAAUGUGAAGUUUUACGUGGUCUCUGCCCUAGUGCGCAUAUCAAAUUAUUUUUACAUCUACUCGGCACUAUUUUCUCAAGAUCUAGGUCUCUGAAAACGACUAUUGUAUAAACUGCAUCAUAUCCCAGCACCCUUGGGAGCCAUCGUUCACCUUCCAUCCCGCAGGUGCAGACAAGGUUCUUCUCCCCAGGUGUGAGCACUCACAGGUAAAGCCACCAGGGUCUCCAGGAACGCGAGCCUGCCUUUUGUGUUGUUUACUAAGCUUUCCUUUGUUUCUACAGUUGAUUUCCUCGUGGGGUCCAUGGGGAUGAAUAGCUUUGUGGGUCUUGAUUCCCAAAGAGACCGUGCAGAUCUGCUACGACACCUGUGGCACCUGGGUGGGUUUCCCAAGGACAGAGCUGGACGGAGCCAGGUGACAGGCUUAGAACAGCUGCUCCAGAUGGGGGCUGACACCCACGUGUGGGGAGGAGCCAGGGGCUGACUGGGGCCUCCAGACCCUUCCAGAGAAGACCUGUUCCUCCGGGCCUGGGGACAUGGAUGAGCUCACAGUGGUGCCUUCUGUCUUCAGAGCGCUAACUCCGGAGAGACUCAGGAGGAAACAGACUAAGACUCUCCUGGAAGUUACAGGGAAUGCAUGCGCAGCUGGGGAGCAGGAGGUAUGUCCCCAGUCCGUGGGGGUGCCUGGCUGGUGUGAGUGCCCCAGUGUGUUUGGAAAGGGGGCAGUUUAACCUUUUGUCCUUUAUAGUUGACUUCCAAGGCAGGUUUUGGGUCCGUACCAAGAGCUACCUAAACAGUUGCUUCUGCCCAUCUGCUGUGUCCGCUGGGACAUGGGCAUGGAUGUCAGCCUGCUGUCACACCUGCCUUGCAUUUGUGUCCAUUCACAGUUCUCAGUGUAGUUCCUGCUGGUGCAAAGAGUGGAUGUGGAGCUGUACAUAUAUGUGAGUACACAAACCAGUGCAUGGACAUACAUAUGGACAUACAUGCACACAUGUGUGUACACACAGGCACAUGCCCAGGUGUGGAAAGGCAUGUGCAGGUGUGCAUGUAUAUCUUCCCAGGCACUCAGUAACACUCUGCCCUAAUUCCCUGGGGCCAUGCAGUUGACAGCUGGCUGGUAAGUCCUGGGGAGCCCGUCCUUGGCUGGCUCAUCCUGCUGCUGUGAUAGAGUAGCUCUUAUACUAGAUGAACAGGAGCUGAACUGCCUACUGGGGAUUCUCAGGGUUUCCUCUGGUCCACCAGGAAGAUGGAAGCAAUGAGACAAUCUCAUACAACAGUGAUGCCUAAAGUUUGCAUAAUCUUUCAUGUCAUUCAAAAUAACAUAAAAAUAGUAACACAGAAGAUUAAAGGGCUAGCCCAAAGUCACACAGCAACUCAGCAAUACAGCUGCUCCCAGGAAGCCUGCCCUCACUGCACAAUUUGACUGGCCAGCUUUCAGAGAACUUCUGACUUCAACAGAAGCCCAGGGAAACACACCUUGUGCCAGUGAAUUUCUCCAUAUUCCAGGAAAUGAUGCACAGCCACGGGCUCAGCAGCCUCCCAGGUAGGGUGUGGCAUGUACCCCCAGAGCCUGAGGGUGGGUGACCUGGCUGUCAGUUCCAACAGUGGGCUCGAGGGAUAAGGGGAGGUGAGAGGGCCCAGGGGUCUUGCUUUGAAACCAGCAUCAGCCACUCAAGAUGGACAGGGAGGUGGUGCCAGGUGGGUUUAGGGGAAGACAAAAGCCCGCGGUCCAUGCGGGGCUGAGAGUCUAUGACGUGACCUCAGUGAAAACUGCUCUGCUUUGUGCUUUGUGCCCGGCCAACCUGCUGUCUGACUCCACAACCACCACGCCAGAACAGCACAUCGAGAGCACACACGACCACACGCGCCUGGGCCCAGCCAGCCUCAUGGGCAGUGCCCAGUGCUCUGUCUCCACUGGGCUCUCUGGGAGGGCCGCUCCCUGAGGGCUCACAGGCAGACGUGGUCCAGGGGAGGGUGGGCCUGAGUGGCCUCCAGCAGCAUGGGCUGGGUACUCCCGGGAGUGUCCAGGGCCUGACACUGUCACCACGUUAGCUCCUGCCUUUCCUCCUCGGGACAGGGAGGCCCCGCCUGAGGCCCCAUGGCUACUAGACACCCCUGCUAUGCUGCCUUCACUGAUUUCCUCACUUUCAGAACCUCUCCACUUCCAGGGCACAGCUCAGCCAUCCCGUGCAGGCUCCUCUAACAUGGCCAUGCCUCCCGUGGGCAGGAACCCUGUUCUGAGCACCUUUGGGCAUGCCACACUUCACACACCUGCUCUCCAGGCCUGCUUAGCUUGUCAUUUCCUCCUGUGCCCAGAAGGGGAUACUGAACCUUUGUGCCACAGAGCUGGGCUGUGGGGUCUGGGGUCCUCUUACUGCCCAGGAUUCCAGGUAGCCUCAGAGAAAUGCUAAGGUUGGCCGUCCCACAUGCCACGCACCUGUGCCAUGUUCCCUCCAUCCAUCCACAGCGGAACCUGCAGCCCCAGGCCAGUACAGGGCUGGUACACAGGUGGCAGCAGAGGGAUGUGAGUAGAGCCCUGGCAGAGGGGCAGUGGGUACAUGGGCACACGCCUGAGUGUGAAUCCCAGCAGCAUUAUUAUGACCAGAUUUUAGAAAUGGGCAUAUUUGUUGGGAUGAAACCCUCACAUUGCUCCUCAUUGUAACUGUGAAGAUUCUGAGGAUGGGGGAACCAAUGCUCUUCCCCUACACAAAGGUCAGCCAGUGAAGAAGGGGCUGCCACUCACCCUCCUCACAGCCUGGAUCCACCUUGUGGGGUCUCUGCUUCUACCCCUCUUGCUGGGGAUGGUGCCCACCUGUGGGUGUCAUGGUGAUGAAACCCGGUAGGGAGCUCCUGGCACCAACACACAGCAUGUGCUCAGCAACACUAACUCCCAGGUCCCCGAGCCCCAGGCCUCCAUGGCCCUGGCCCCCACAGUCCCUCUGCUGGCAUCUUUCCCAGGCUUGGGUCCCCCUCCAGCACUGCUGGUCUCAGCUCCGUUGUGAAGAGGCCAGGCCAAACCGCACCGAAAUGAAGAUGGUGGGCACCCGAACAGUCAGAGAGAGUGGGGAGGCAGGAGCCAGAGGAGCAGGGAGAAUCAGUCCCUGCAAGGAGGGGUCCCAGGAGCAGGGACACUAGAAAGGUCUUGAAGCAUGUGUAGGAGCUCACAGGAAGAGGGCCAGAGGGUCCCCAGGGAGGAGUGGGUCUGCUCUGGCAUCCUGCUAGGCUGCUUUCCUGAAGCUCUUGCACCAGUAGUUCAGCAAAUCCACCCUUUAUGGUUUUUCUGUUUCUAGUGGUCAGACCUGCAGGGUUCUUAGGCUUUCAGAAAUAUGGUGCUUUAAAACCUGUGUCCCAGAUCAGUGUCCUCCAGAGAGCAGGCCUGUCUGUGUGGACUGGCCUUCUGUGUGGACGAGGGAGAUCCUGGCUGUGGUGCUGAGAGGGCCCAGCCCCAGACCACACAGGGAAUGCCACCCGCAGCUCACCCCAGGGAGGGAAGGGGCAGGGAGAGAAGUAGGACAGAUCCCCAGGUCAGGGGCAAACCCAAGUGGCCCGAGGGGCUCCCCUAAGCACACUGUCCCUCUUCACUCUGCCGAGGCUCCACGGAGUCCUGAGUCAGGAGCACUGGGAAGGCCCCGGUUCCAAUGCCUGCAUGUGAGUGCCCCCCUCCAGCCUGGGCCCUGGGUUUCUGAGGAGCAGGCACAGCUCUUGAUAUGAGAUCCAGAGGGAGCAGGGUUUGACCUGGAAAACCAAUGCUUCUCAUGCACGCAGCACCCUGGGCCCAAGGGGCCUCAUCCUUGGCUGGUGACCCUUACUCCUUGGCCUUGGUGGUCCCUGGGAGGUUCCAGGGUGGUCUCCUCGCCGUGGCAGGAAUGGCCAGAGGCUUGCAGAUGGUGCGGGGUGGGCGGCGGUCCUGUUCCGGGGUGAGGCACAGGCAGGGGUGCAGGGCGGCAGGGUCGGGGUGUGGCCCACGGUGCUCUCAUUCUGCAGGAGACUCCUCCAGGAGAGCCUUUUGGGUUCCCCCCCCCGACUCUCAGCCUCCUUGUUACCCUGUCCUGCUGUCCUUGGUCUGAGUGCUUCCAUCCCUCAUGCUGUUUACAUAGUGGGUGAUCAGGAUGCGGCCAGUCAGGCAGGGCCAGUCCCUUCUAAUUUAUGGUGGAUUUGGACCCUGGGAUGAGAUUUGACCCCAGAACAUUUCUUGCACCACUUCUGCAACAAACUGAGGGCUUGUGUGCCCCACAGCAGAUACUGAAGCCUGAUGGGGGGCCAUUGGGAAGUGCCUGAGUCGGGAGGGUGGAGCCUCCGUGAGUGGGAUCGGUGCCCUUACGUGAGAGCCCAGAGAGCUCUUUUGUCCCUUGGGCCAUGUGAGGACACGGUGAGUAGAUAACCUUCUAGUGACCAGGUCCCAGGCUCCAACCAGACACCAGAUUUGCCAUAUCUCAGAUGCCCAGCCUCCCAACUGAGAAGUGAACACUGGCUGUUCAGACCGCCCUGCCUCUGGUGUUUGAAAUCAGCCAUGACCCCACACUCCCUUUGUUCUCUGUCCAGCAACACCAGAAUGCCCCUGCACUGGGCUCGCGGGUGGGCUGGGCCCUGGGCCCUGGUCUGCUGUCCUGCCCGGCCCCCUCUGGGGCCUCCAUGGUCAGGGGCAACAUUAGAGUCCAAACGCCCCUUGGGUGCCUGGGUUUGAAAGCUCCAGGACCCAGAGGACCUGCCUGGGAGUUUGGGAAUGAGCACACCCCAGAACAGCCCUGGCCUCUGUGCCCUGUCGUGUUGGCUCUGUGUGGGCCCUGAGCCCACAGCAAGGACAACUCUGGAGCCCAGGGGCAGCUGUCUGGGCAGGCCAU